GGAAGCGUGCCCGAAAGAUAAGGACCUCCUUGAUAGGGAGGCUAAU
rnacentral:tRNA from 1 species